CCCUGUCCUCAACCCCAUCCUACAGCUUUAGGAUGAAUUGGGAUGCCAACUGCAAGCCAGGCCUAAUCGCCCAACAUCAGUGCCCGACCUCACUAAUGCUCUUGUGGCUGAAUGGAAGCAAGUCCCCGCAGCAAUGUUCCAACAUCUAGUGGAAAGCUUUCCCAGAAGAGUGGAGGCUGUUAUAGCAGCAAAUGAGGGACAAACUCCAUAUUAAUGCCCAUGAUUUUGGAAUGAGAUGUUCGAUGAGCAGGUGUCCACAUAAUUUGAUCAUGUAGUGUAAAUACAUACAUAAAUACACAAGACUAACAUGACAGAGACAAGUGUAUGAAUUAGUGUAUGUUAAUUCCUUACCUACAUAUAAAUGUAUACAGACUGACAUAGAAAGAGGCACGUUAAUUACCUACCUACAUACAGCAUGGCAUGACUGAAGAAGAACAAAUAGUAGUAACAGAAAUACUUGUGUACUGAGUUAAUCAUUGUCAGAGCAAAUCCCUGUCAUCUUUUGUUCAUGGGCAAUAAACUAUCUUCCAUCCUAUUCCAAUUUAGAUAUGGGUGGUCAAAUAUGUAACUUAUUAAGUGGAAAUGUUCACUAUACAAUGUACUCUAUGGCCUUGACUUCCUUUAAGUUAUCAAACUAAACAUGGUUUACGAUAGUUGUGACUUCCUGUCAUUGUAAACGACAUUAUAUUCUGACUUCUACUGGAAGGAACAUAGGUGAGCAGGAAGUGGAUGUGGGUCAACUCCCUGACUGACACUUCCUGUUAAGGUAUCCAUAGUAACUAUGUUGUAGGGUUAGUGUUGAGGCUACGGUUAGGCUUGAACUGGGAUGUGUACAUUAAUCUAUGGUUAGGGUUGAACCGGGAUGUGGACAUGAAGCUAGGGUUAGUGUUGAACUGGGAUGUGGACAUGAAGCUAGGGUUAGGAUUGAACUGGGAUGUGGACAUGAAGCUAGGGUUAGGGUUGAACUAGGAUGUGGACAUGAAUCUAAGGUUAGUGUUGAACUGGGAUGUGGACAUGAAGCUAGGAUUAGUGUUAGGGUUGAUGCUAGGGUUAGGGUUUAACUAGGGUUAGUGUUACUACUGUUACUGAAAAUUGUUGCCCAACAGAAACUGUAAGUAUUAAUUACAUUCCUACACUCCAUGUUGAUAAUGACGACUCAUUUCCAUUACAUCUACUGUUGCAUGCUGGAUUAUUUGGUUGCUGAAUCAAGGCGUUCACUGUCACAUAUAUGAAUCAGUGGCUCCUAUCACAAUGGAUAUGUCUCUCUCAGACAGAGUACAACAGAACAUUAAAGAACCAAACAUCCUGACUGAGCAACGCUCAAGCCGUAUCCUGUAUCACAUUAUCUAAAAACACAGGGGUAGCGAUAGUCUACACUGUAGGUCCUAGAGAGUGAUUAUUUUGUUUUCUGCUGGACAGUAGAAUGUUUUGUGCGUGUGUGUCCUUGACAGAUAGAGAGAUGCAGCCAGUCAGGCCAUGUGCUGUGUGUCCUUGACAGAUGGAGAGAUUCAGCCAGUCAGGCCAUGUGCUGUGUGUCCUUGACAGAUAGAGAGAUUCAGCCAGUCAGGCCAUGUGCUGGUUGGACUGGAAGCUGACACCACGGCCCUGUACUCCAGUGGAGGCUGCUGACGGGAGGAUGGCUCAUAAUAAUGGCUGGAAUGGAAUCCAUGGAAUGGUACUACAAAAUAUGUUUGAUACCACUCCAUUCCAGCCACUAUUACGAGCAGUCCUCCCCUCAGCAGCCUCCACUGCUGUACUCUCAGGCCCAGCUCUAUAGGAUAGGGCGGGAGGAGGGCCACACUCUGCUCCAUCUCAGGUCUAACUAUCAAGGCCUCUGAUAAGUGCUUCAUCCUCUGACACGGCAAGAGUGGAGAUGACCAUUGUGUCCAUACACACGUGGCCAGUGAAAAUAGAAUGUGGACAUGAAGGUAGGGUUAGGGCUACUACUGUUACCAAAAAUGAUUGCCCAACAGAAACUGUGAAGUAUUGAUUACUUUCCUACACUUCUUGUUGAUAACGAUGACUCAUUUUCAUCACAUUCCAUCCUAUCUACUGUUGCAUGCUGGAUGAGUUGGCUCACUCAGGUGCUGAAUCAAGGUAGUUCACACCACUGUCACACCUGGGAUUGGAUUGUUUUCGACAUCCUUUGUGUUUUUUAUGUUCUUUCAUGCAUCUCUUUCACUGCUCCUGUCUGCUUUUACUUCUGUAACGCGUGUUGUGAUUUUAAAUGCACUUUAAAUGACGUUUGAUUUGACUCAUUGACUCCUAUAAAACACAAUGGAGUCUUGAACUUAAACGAACCCCGAGGCUGACAACUGAUCUCGCUUUCAGACAGAAAGUGCAACAUGGAGCAUUUGUGGGAACCAAACAUCCUGCCUGGGCAACACUCCAGCAAUAUCCUAUAUCACAUUAUCUAACAACACAGGGUUUUCAGUGCAGUAG
rnacentral:lncRNA from 13 species